GCAGUGACUUCAUUAACCAUACAGAAGAAGUUUACUUUGUAGUUCUCCAGCCUGUCGCAGGGGAGCUUUUAAAUCAUGUAUCUUCAGAUGCUUGUUGUGCAAUUUAAGACUCGCAUCGACUUUUCCAACAAAAAGGCCCAAUCCUGUGAAGAAUGGAGCGCCCUUCCGAGUCAGACUGAAGACCCUCCUCUGUUGGUGCACGUUACCAUGGUAAGAAGAGUUUACAAACACUGUUCCACCUAACAAGGCUUUGAACAGCAUUUGUGCAGAGCUGCUCCACAGCAUGCCGAGAGUGUCAGCAGGGCUAGAAACACUGAUUUCGCCUGCAGGACAGUAUGUCAAGUGCACUCUCAGCAAGAACCCGCAGCGGAUCCUGCCCAGACUGGAACCAGUUUGUGGCCCUGACCUGAAAUGUCAACAGCAGUAUGAAAGCUAGCAGCUCUCCCCAAGGAUCACAGGACUAUUUUCAAUGUAAUCAGCCAAGAAUAGUGCUGGACAAAUAAUCAUUAUCGACUAAUUUUAUUUGGUUUUGUCAAUUGGGCAGCUCUGUGCGUUAAUUCUAGAAGGAUUUCUGCACUAUCAAUGAAAAUGUUUCUCUCCUUUGCAAUUUUGCUAUUCCCAUUGCUUGGUUUCAGUACUGAUGGAUACUUUAUGCUUUUCCCAUUAAGCUUUUGCUCACCUUUAUGAAGCGUCACUAGGAUUAUUCUCACUGAUGGGGAAACAUGGAGGGUAGCUUCUGCCCACAGAUUGGACUGAUAAUACAGUUCCAGAGCGCUACUACACUAGUUUGAACUACUGUUCGAACUGAAGUCAGUGGCAAAGCACAAGUCGGGAAUAAAAUCAGCCCCUGUUCAACUGGCAUUUCAUUUAAAGGGACUUAACAUUUGCUGGGAUAUUUAACGCCGCAAAGCUCACAUGCCUUUGCAAGCUACCACUUUAAAAUGCUAGCUAAAAAUAUUUGCCUUAUCUGAAGUCAGACGAAUAAAUCCUCCCUACUGCUGGGUACACAGUGUGGCAGUGUACAAUACAACUGCAAAUUUAUUCGUUAGAAACUGUACAUCUGUUAUGAUUUACACUUGCCAAAAUAUAAUUCUUUAUGGCAACAAUUGUUUCAUGGUGCUUAAAGUUUUUCACCUCUGUGCCAGGAAUCUCAUGUGGGAUAAUUCCAUGACCUUGGAAUCCAGCAGAUACAUUCCACAUCUGUCUGGUCUG